rnacentral:lncRNA from 1 species
AAAAUGUACUGGUACAACUCACAAUAUAAUACAUCUUCAUUCCCUUUCUUUAUCCGCAGAGUGAUAUAACAAACUAUUUUUCAAAAAAUGUUUUUCUUUCUUUUAGUUCAGUCUGCCAAACAGCGUCGAAUGGAGAUAAAAAUGACAAGGACAGAAAAACAAAAGAAUCAUGCAGAACGAAAAGCCUCAUUUAUCAGAAUUAGACAGCAAUCAAGAUCUGAAUUAAAAAUCCUCCUUCAGUUAUGAUACAAGACAUUACUGGUAAUUAUUUUCCAUACAGUACAAAGAAGAUAAGUUCUCCCUCUGUUUCCAGAUGGCAAAGAUAGAAGGUAAUUGUAAUGGCGUGACAGCUACAGUACAUUUAAAAGAGUAAUAGUAAACAAGCU